ACUUACGGCCAUACCAGCCUGUGUACGCCCGAUCUCGUCUGAUCUCGGAAGCUAAGCAGGGUCGGGCCUGGUUAGUACUUGGAUGGGAGACCGCCUGGGAAUACCAGGUGCUGUAAGCA
rnacentral:rRNA from 1 species